AGAGUUUGAUCCUGGCUCAGGACGAACGCUGGCGGCACGCUUAACACAUGCAAGUCGAACGAGAGAAGAGAAGCUUGCUUUUCUGAUCUAGUGGCGGACGGGUGAGUAACACGUGAGCAAUCUGCCUUUCAGAGGGGGAUACCGAUUGGAAACGAUCGUUAAUACCGCAUAACAUAAUUGAACCGCAUGAUUUGAUUAUCAAAGAUUUAUCGCUGAAAGAUGAGCUCGCGUCUGAUUAGCUAGUUGGUAAGGUAACGGCUUACCAAGGCGACGAUCAGUAGCCGGACUGAGAGGUUGAUCGGCCACAUUGGGACUGAGACACGGCCCAGACUCCUACGGGAGGCAGCAGUGGGGAAUAUUGCACAAUGGAGGAAACUCUGAUGCAGCGAUGCCGCGUGAGGGAAGAAGGUUUUAGGAUUGUAAACCUCUGUCUUCAGGGACGAAAAAAGACGGUACCUGAGGAGGAAGCUCCGGCUAACUACGUGCCAGCAGCCGCGGUAAUACGUAGGGAGCGAGCGUUGUCCGGAAUUACUGGGUGUAAAGGGAGCGUAGGCGGGAUCGCAAGUCAGAUGUGAAAACUAUGGGCUUAACCCAUAAACUGCAUUUGAAACUGUGGUUCUUGAGUGAAGUAGAGGUAAGCGGAAUUCCUAGUGUAGCGGUGAAAUGCGUAGAUAUUAGGAGGAACAUCAGUGGCGAAGGCGGCUUACUGGGCUUUAACUGACGCUGAGGCUCGAAAGCGUGGGGAGCAAACAGGAUUAGAUACCCUGGUAGUCCACGCCGUAAACG
rnacentral:rRNA from 1 species